ensembl:snRNA U4 U4 spliceosomal RNA
AGCUUUGUGCAGUGGCAGUAUCAUAGCCAAUGAGGUUUAUCCGAGGCGUGAUUAUUGCUAUUUAAAAACUUUUCCCAAUAACCCGCCGUGAGGACUUGCAACAAAGUCGGCAUCGGCAAUUUUUGACAGUCUCUACAGAGA